rnacentral:rRNA from 1 species
UACGUAGGGUCCAAGCGUUGUCCGGAUUUAUUGGGCGUAAAGAGCUCGUAGGCGGUUCGGUAAGUCGGAUGUGAAAACUCAGGGCUCAACCCGGAGACGCCAUCCGAUACUGCUGUGACUUGAGUCUGGUAGGGGGAACACGGAAUUCCUGGUGUAGCGGUGAAAUGCGCAGAUAUCAGAAGGAACACCGAUGGCGAAGGCAGCAAACUGGUCAUCAACUGACGCUGAGGCGCGAAAGCGUGGGUAGCAAACAGG